UACGGGAGGCAGCAGUGGGGAAUAUUGCACAAUGGGCGAAAGCCUGAUGCAGCUAUGCCGCGUGUAUGAAGAAGGCCUUAGGGUUGUAAAGUACUUUCAUCGGGGAGGAAAAAACAAAACUAAUAAUUUUAUUUCUUGACGUUACCCGAAAAAGAAGCACCGGCUAACUCCGUGCCAGCAGCCGCGGUAAUACGGAGGGUGCUAGCGUUAAUCAGAAUUACUGGGCGUAAAGAGCACGUAGGUGGUUUUUUUAAGUCAGAUAUGAAAUCCCUGGGCUUAACCUAGGAACUGCAUUUUGAAACUGAAAUACUAGAGUAUCGUAGAGGGAGGUAGAAUUCUAGGUGUAGCGGUGAAAUGCGUAGAUAUCUGGAGGAAUACCUGUGGCGAAAGCGGCCUCCUAAACGAAUACUGACACUGAGGUGCGAAAGCGUUGGGGAGCAAACAGGGAUUUAGGAUACC
rnacentral:rRNA from 1 species